rnacentral:rRNA from 1 species
GACGAACGCUGGCGGCGUGCUUAACACAUGCAAGUCGAACGAAGUGGCGAACGGGUGAGUAACGCGUAAUCAACCUGCCCUUCAGAGGGGGACAACAGUUGGAAACGACUGCUAAUACCGAAUACUGAAGGAGGAGAUUGCGUCUGAUUAGCUAGUUGGAGGGGUAAGGGCCCACCAAGGCGAGGAGCAGUAGCCGGUCUGUGAGUAUGAACUGCCACAUUGGGACUGAGACACGGCCCAGACUCCCACGGGAGGCAGCAGUGGGGAAGCUUUCGCAAUGGACGAAAGUCUGACGGAGCAACGCCGCGUGAGUGAUGACGGCCUUCGGGUUUUAAAGCUCUGUUAAUCGGGACGCGGUACCGGAAUAGAAAGCCACGGCUAACUACGUGCCAGCAGCCGCGGUAAUAC